rnacentral:rRNA from 1 species
UUUCAACAACGGAUCUCUUGGCUCUCGCAUCGAUGAAGAACGUAGCGAAGUGCGAUAAGUAAUGUGAAUUGCAGAAUUCCGUGAAUCAUCGAGUCUUUGAACGCAAAUUGCACUCUUUUCGGAGAGUAUGCCUGUUUGAGGGUCAUUUUAAUAACGAUCGAAGUGU